GCGGCCGUGGUCUAGCCUGGUUAGGACACCGGCCUUCCACGCCGGUAAUCCCGGGUUCAAAUCCCGGCGGCCGCACCA
rnacentral:tRNA from 1 species